rnacentral:rRNA from 1 species
GACGAACGCUGGCGGCGUGCCUAAUACAUGCAAGUCGCGCGAAGCGGCGGAUGGGUGAGGAACGAGUGGGUAACCUGCCCUUAAGUCUGGGAUAACAAUUGGAAACAGAUGCUAAUAGCGGAUACAAAAGGAUGGAACAGCGAUGCACUAGCUAGUUUGUAAGGUAACGGCUUACCAAGUCGAGGAUGCAUAGCCGAUUUGAUGGACUGAUAGGACACAUGGGGAGUGAGACACGCGCCAAACUCCUACGGGAGGCAGCAGGAAGGAAUCUUCCACAAUUGACGAAAGUCUGAGGGAGUAACGUCGCGUGAGUGAAGAAGGUUUUCGGAUCGUAAAGCUCUGGUGUUGGUUAAGCGAUAAUCAACCAGAAAGUCAGGGCUAACUACGUGCCAGCAGCCGCGGUAAUAC